AUUGAACGCUGGCGGCAGGCCUAACACAUGCAAGUCGAGCGAGCGGCGGACUGGUGAGUAAUGUAUGGGGACUGCCUGACCGAGGGGGCUAACUACUGGAAACGGUGGCUAAUACCGCAUACUAUCCGAUAACCCAUAUUGGAUUAGCUAGUCGGUGGGGUAAAGGCUCACCUAGGCGACGAUCUCUAGCUGGUCUGAGAGGAUGAUCAGCCACACUGGGACUGAGACACGGCCCAGACGCCUACGGAGGCAGCAGUGGGGAAUAUUGCACAAUGGGCGCAAGCCUGAUGCAGCCAUGCCGCGUGUAUGAAGAAGGCCUUAGGGUUGUAAAGUACUUUCAGCGGGGAGGCGUUACCCACAGAGAAAGCACCGGCUAACUCCGUGCCAGCAGCCGCGGUAAUAC
rnacentral:rRNA from 1 species